rnacentral:rRNA from 1 species
UACGGGGGGAGCAAGCGUUGUUCGGAUUUACUGGGCGUAAAGGGCGCGUAGGCGGCCACCGCAAGUCGACUGUGAAAUCUCCGGGCUUAACUCGGAAAGGUCAGCCGAUACUGCGGGGCUAGAGUGCAGAAGGGGCAACUGGAAUUCUCGGUGUAGCGGUGAAAUGCGUAGAUAUCGAGAGGAACACCUGCGGCGAAGGCGGGUUGCUGGGCUGACACUGACGCUGAGGCGCGAAGGCUAGGGGAGCAAACAGG